AUUCUCUCGGUUUCUAUAUUUGGUAAGUUGGGUUAUGCCAUCUAUGUGGCCUUUUGUCCUUGACUUUUCUGGAUUUAUAUAGAGUUAAGAAUUAUAUUUCUGAUUUAUGUUUAGCUUCUCCCUAUUCUGAGUCUUUCUUUCUUUUCCAUCUUUCUUUCUUUCUUUUUUUGAUGCUUCCCGCACAUCCUUAAACUGUAUUGAUUCUGUGGUCAGUUUACUGUUUAGAUUUAAUUUGCAUGGUUGUCAUUUCUUGUGUGAAUCAUCUUAUGUCCAUUUUCUUCUGAAGAUGAAAUCCAGAUAAAAGACUAAUGAAGUCAAAAUUUAAUGAAUUAAAACCAG
rnacentral:misc_RNA from 1 species